rnacentral:miRNA from 1 species
AGUCAGCAUUGGUGGUUU